AGACUGAUAUAAUUAUUUCUUGCCUCAAACCUAUCUCUCUUCGUCUACCUUUCAAACCUUAGACAAAACCCCACGGUGGUCCUGAUGGCGGCUCUGAUGAACCUCCCACCUGUUCAUCAAAGCGAAAACCUAUCCUCAACCCCAAAUCCGAACUAGCCCAAAAUCUCCCAAACAAAAACAAAUCCCAAACCCCAAUCAAAGAAAAUCUCAACCGAUGAACCAAGAACGAUUGAUAUAAAUAAGCUUUAGGCAAGUGAUUUCAACAUUAGAUCCAUCAUCAUCUCCAUAAACACGACAUGUUUUCUCACAGACCAAAUCAAAUGUAACAAAACAAACUUCGACAAUCAUCAAGCAUACAUGCAAUCAAUGAACAGAUGGAGCCUUAACACUUUUUAAGCUUAAAAUAAAAGGUAUAAGAUCUCGCUGGAAUUCUGCAACUCCGACAAGAUUAUGGCGGACAACAUUUUUUUACCUCAACUGCACAAGAUGGUAAGCGGAUCAUGGAGGCCCAUGAUAAAUACAUGAGGAAAAUCCCAGCCUUGUAAGGAUAUGCCCUGCCAGUAUGUAUCAACUCUGUUUUCCUUUAAGGUAGCAUGGAUACCAGGUUGUACUGUAGGUUGAUAGAUGCAUACUAUAAUUCGGUUUGUGAACAUAUGUUGGAAAUGCUUUGUUUCUUAGUUCACGUCUUCAUGGUGUGGGAUUGUAAGUUAUGGAUAAUAUGAGUUUGCUUAUGACGGUGCAUUUGGCAGCAUGUUUCUCACGGCUUUUCCUAUGCCUUUGUUCCGAAAUGUUACAGUCUUGGUUGUCUUGCUGAUAUGAUGCAGUAGUGGUUUGUGCAGUUUCUAGAUCGAGUAUUUGGUCAAGGUUGGCUGGUUUGGUAACGGGUUUCUUUUUGUCAUGGUUCAGCAUCUGUCAUGGUUUUGUAACA